UACCGGUCUUCUACCCAUAUCUCUCUCCCUGGCCUAGUUUCCAUCGAGUUGGCCCCACUUGUCAGUGCCUUAGGCUAGGUUCAGCCCUGUCCAACACUUCCUCCUUCUACACCUCUCUCUUGCCUAGUGGGACCCCAUUGUCAGCCUCACAUCCCUCUCCACACGGGCCCACGACUCAGACCCCGCGCGCCACGCGUGUGAGCACGCGUUGAGCGCGGAAGAGGGCGAGCUCCUCCUCCCCAUCUCCGCCGGCGACCGUACUUAACCCGACCGGCCGACCAACUCUCACUCUCUCUCGCCCCUGUCUCGUUUCGCGGAAGAACCGAGGUACCCCGCCUCGGAUUCGCCGGGAACGGGGGUGCCAACUCCGGCGCCGGUGAGAGAAGUCCUCGACGCCGUCGCAAUCCGCCAAUCUCCGGGAACGCGACCGCGUCAACUCGGAACACCGUCGCGCUCUGGACGCCGCUGCUUCGCCUUUGCUCGUCGCCCAGCUUCCACGGUUCGUGACAAGCUGAGCCACUUCGCCACGAGCUUCAUCAACCUCUGUAGAUCAAGAAUCCCGAAGGAAUCGACGCGAGGUGGACCACGGUGGGAGAUCCUCUUCUUUUUUCCCAACUCUGGCCGCCGACGCCAUUCCUUUCUUUCUCCUUCUCUGUAGAAGCCCGGGAGUACACCGUCGACGACGACCGUAGCAGUCGCGCCGUCGCCGAACCAGUACACCGUCGCCAAGACUUCGCCGAGCCGCGUUUG